CCGUAAACCACAAAUGCAAGUGUUACAUUUAUGCAUUUGGCAGACACUUUUGUUUAAAGUUCAAGGAGAAAGCAAUAUUAUGGAUAGAGGACUUAAAAACAUCUUUCAUCUACAACUUGGAUGGCCUUAGGGCCAUCCAAGAUGUAAAUGAGUUUGUUUCUUCAUCAGAACAGAUUUGGAGAAAUGUACAGUAGCAUUACAUCAUUACACCAAUGGAUCCUCUGCAGUGAAUGGGUGCCGUCAGAAUGAGAGUCCAAACAAAUGAUAAAAACAUCACAAUAAUCCACAUGACUCCAGUUCAUCAAUUAACAUCUUGUCAAGUGAAAAGCUGCACAUUUGUAAUAAAAAAAAAUUAGCUUCAAA
ensembl:lncRNA